GAUGAAGAACGUAGCGAAAUGCGAUAAGUAAUGUGAAUUGCAGAAUUCAGUGAAUCAUCGAAUCUUUGAACGCACAUUGCGCCCGCCAGUAUUCUGGCGGGCAUGCCUGUUCGAGCGCCAUUUCAACCAUCAAGCCCCCCGGCUUGUGUUGGGGACCUGCGGCUGCCGCAGGCCCUGAAAAGCAGUGGCGGGCUCGCUGUCACACCGAGCGUAGUAGAUCUCAUCUCGCUCAGGGCGUGCUGCGGGUUCCGGCCGUUAAACCACCUUCAUAACCCAAGGUUGACCUCGGAUCAGGUAGGAAGACCCGCUGAACUUAAGCAUAUCAAUAACGGAGGA
rnacentral:misc_RNA from 1 species